CUUGUUUGGGAAUCUAGUGAUACAUAUACACUUAGAAAUGCUGCCUGUUUAUUUAGAUACCACAUAACCAAGUCAUACCUACAUUUAUUUGUGCUUUAGUUUCAUACUGGAAAUUUUCAAAUGUAUAUUUAUCAGAUCUUCUUUGUCGCAUCUUAAAUAGUCUGGCGCCACGGUUACUGAGAUGGGAUAGUUCUUCCAACAUGAUGUCUCUGGGGAUGCUGACUUUUUUGCCCAGGUGCAUGCCAUCUACAUCUGUAAAACAACAUUCAUGUGCAUGAAAACCCCAAGGGCUGCCACAGUGUGUUUCCAACUCCUUUGCCACUUGCUACAAGAAAAAAAGAGACUAAAUAAGAGGAGGAAACUGACAUUCUGAGAGAUUAAGUAAAACCCCCACGCAUCGUCUUUGAAAAUUAUAGAGAUGGAAUUAACCAUUUGUUUUGUCUGAUCCAGAGGCUCUUGUAUUUUCACUAUACUGUGCAGAAAUGUCUAUCUUCCCAA